AACGAACGCUGGCGGCAUGCCUAACACGUGCAAGUCGAACGAGACCUUCGGGUCUAGUGGCGCACGGGUGCGUAACGCGUGGGAACCUGCCCUUAGGUUCGGAAUAACUCCCCGAAAGGGGUGCUAAUACCGGAUAAUGUCUUCGGACCAAAGAUUUAUCGCCUUUGGAUGGGCCGGCGUUGGAUUAGCUAGUUGGUAGGGUAAAAGCCUACCAAGGCGACGAUCCAUAGCUGGUCUGAGAGGAUGAUCAGCCACACUGGGACUGAGACACGGCCCAGAAUCCUACGGGAGGCAGCAGUGGGGAAUAUUGGAAAGUGGGGGAAAGCCUGAUCCAGCAAUGCCGCGUGAGUGAUGAAGGCCUUAGGGUUGUAAAGCUCUUUUACCCGGGAUGAUAAUGACAGUACCGGGAGAAUAAGCACCGGCUAACUCCGUG
rnacentral:rRNA from 1 species